ensembl:lncRNA
CUGAACAUCUAUUGAAAAUGAUUGAUCUACUGUCCUGCAUCUGCCAAACUGCCAUUCAGUCCAGAGGGGAUUUGGAUGAAGACAAGAGAAACAUGCACCAGACACAACAAGAAUCACACUUCUGGCUCGCAUUAAAUGAGGAUUAGAAAGAAAGGAGAUUUCACCCUAUGCAGUGAACGCGAGCUCACUCCAGCUCAUGAAUCGCUGCCUACCUUCUGCACAGUGUGAACAGCCUUUGAAGCCACCAAUGGCAAAGCUUCCCAGGACACUUCACUUACUUCUGUGUUGAAACUGUUACUGGUUUAGAUUUUAGACAAAAGACGCUCUUGGUAGAAAUAUUUUGUAGACAAAAUAAAUAAAAAAGAAAAAGUGG